UACGUAGGGUGCGAGCGUUGUCCGGAAUUACUGGGCGUAAAGAGCUCGUAGGUGGUUUGUCGCGUUGUCCGUGAAAACUCACAACUCAAUUGUGGGCGUGCGGGCGAUACGGGCAGACUGGAGUACUGCAGGGGAGACUGGAAUUCCUGGUGUAGCGGUGGAAUGCGCAGAUAUCAGGAAGAACACCUAUGGCGAAGGCAGCUCUCUGGGACGGUACUGACGCUGAGACGCGAAAGCGUGGGGAGCGAACAGG
rnacentral:rRNA from 1 species